rnacentral:ncRNA from 1 species
GUUUCAGGGCGGGGUGGAAGUCCCCACCGGCAGUAUAGUCUGCGAGCUUGAGAGCAUCGUCUCGAUGGUUGAUCCGGUGAGAUCCCGGAACCGACAGUCACAGUCUGGAUGGGAGAAA